AGACCCGAAACCCGGUGAUCUAGCCAUGGGCAGGUUGAAGGUUGGGUAACACUAACUGGAGGACCGAACCGACUAAUGUUGAAAAAUUAGCGGAUGACUUGUGGCUGGGGGUGAAAGGCCAAUCAAACCGGGAGAUAGCUGGUUCUCCCCGAAAGCUAUUUAGGUAGCGCCUCGUGAAUUCAUCUCCGGGGGUAGAGCACUGUUUCGGCAAGGGGGUCAUCCCGACUUACCAACCCGAUGCAAACUGCGAAUACCGGAGAAUGUUAUCACGGGAGACACACGGCGGGUGCUAACGUCCGUCGUGAAGAGGGAAACAACCCAGACCGCCAGCUAAGGUCCCAAAGUCAUGGUUAAGUGGGAAACGAUGUGGGAAGGCCCAGACAGCCAGGAUGUUGGCUUAGAAGCAGCCAUCAUUUAAAGAAAGCGUAAUAGCUCACUGGUCGAGUCGGCCUGCGCGGAAGAUGUAACGGGGCUAAACCAUGCACCGAAGCUGCGGCAGCGACACUGUGUGUUGUUGGGUAGGGGAGCGUUCUGUAAGCCUGUGAAGGUGUGCUGUGAGGCAUGCUGGAGGUAUCAGAAGUGCGAAUGCUGACAUAAGUAACGAUAAAGCGGGUGAAAAGCCCGCUCGCCGGAAGACCAAGGGUUCCUGUCCAACGUUAAUCGGGGCAGGGUGAGUCGACCCCUAAGGCGAGGCCGAAAGGCGUAGUCGAUGGGAAACAGGUUAAUAUUCCUGUACUUGGUGUUACUGCGAAGGGGGGACGGAGAAGGCUAUGUUGGCCGGGCGACGGUUGUCCCGGUUUAAGCGUGUAGGCUGGUUUUCCAGGCAAAUCCGGAAAAUCAAGGCUGAGGCGUGAUGACGAGGCACUACGGUGCUGAAGCAACAAAUGCCCUGCUUCCAGGAAAAGCCUCUAAGCAUCAGGUAACAUCAAAUCGUACCCCAAACCGACACAGGUGGUCAGGUAGAGAAUACCAAGGCGCUUGAGAGAACUCGGGUGAAGGAACUAGGCAAAAUGGUGCCGUAACUUCGGGAGAAGGCACGCUGAUAUGUAGGUGAAGUCCCUCGCGGAUGGAGCUGAAAUCAGUCGAAGAUACCAGCUGGCUGCAACUGUUUAUUAAAAACACAGCACUGUGCAAACACGAAAGUGGACGUAUACGGUGUGACGCCUGCCCGGUGCCGGAAGGUUAAUUGAUGGGGUCAGCGCAAGCGAAGCUCUUGAUCGAAGCCCCGGUAAACGGCGGCCGUAACUAUAACGGUCCUAAGGUAGCGAAAUUCCUUGUCGGGUAAGUUCCGACCUGCACGAAUGGCGUAAUGAUGGCCAGGCUGUCUCCACCCGAGACUCAGUGAAAUUGAACUCGCUGUGAAGAUGCAGUGUACCCGCGGCAAGACGGAAAGACCCCGUGAACCUUUACUAUAGCUUGACACUGAACAUUGAGCCUUGAUGUGUAGGAUAGGUGGGAGGCUUUGAAGUGUGGACGCCAGUCUGCAUGGAGCCGACCUUGAAAUACCACCCUUUAAUGUUUGAUGUUCUAACGUGGACCCGUGAUCCGGGUUGCGGACAGUGUCUGGUGGGUAGUUUGACUGGGGCGGUCUCCUCCUAAAGAGUAACGGAGGAGCACGAAGGUUGGCUAAUCCUGGUCGGACAUCAGGAGGUUAGUGCAAUGGCAUAAGCCAGCUUGACUGCGAGCGUGACGGCGCGAGCAGGUGCGAAAGCAGGUCAUAGUGAUCCGGUGGUUCUGAAUGGAAGGGCCAUCGCUCAACGGAUAAAAGGUACUCCGGGGAUAACAGGCUGAUACCGCCCAAGAGUUCAUAUCGACGGCGGUGUUUGGCACCUCGAUGUCGGCUCAUCACAUCCUGGGGCUGAAGUAGGUCCCAAGGGUAUGGCUGUUCGCCAUUUAAAGUGGUACGCGAGCUGGGUUUAGAACGUCGUGAGACAGUUCGGUCCCUAUCUGCCGUGGGCGCUGGAGAACUGAGGGGGGCUGCUCCUAGUACGAGAGGACCGGAGUGGACGCAUCACUGGUGUUCGGGUUGUCAUGCCAAUGGCACUGCCCGGUAGCUAAAUGCGGAAGAGAUAAGUGCUGAAAGCAUCUAAGCACGAAACUUGCCCCGAGAUGAGUUCUCCCUGACCCUUUAAGGGUCCUGAAGGAACGUUGAAGACGACGACGUUGAUAGGCCGGGUGUGUAAGCGCAGCGAUGCGUUGAG
rnacentral:rRNA from 1 species